GGCAAGCAGGCAAAGAGCAAGGCUGUCCUUCUUCAGUGUCCUUUUGUCUUGGCUGCCACCAGAAGGUGCUGUCCCUGUUUAGGGUGUGUCUUCCACCUCCACUAGGAGUGCCCAGUGACCUGCCAGUUAGUUAAUUCCAGAUCCAGUCAAGCUGACAGCCAAGAUUAGCCAUCACACAGGGUCUCCUGCAGCCCAAACUAGCCUCAACCUUGGUAGAUAACUGAAGCUGGCUUUGAACUCCUGAUCUUCCUGCCUCCACCCUCUGAGUGCCGUGAUUAUAGGCACACAUUACAACAUCUAGCUGAGAUGCAAGUAUUGUCAGGCUGAAAUUCUAUUCAGUAUAGAUGCACAAGGAACGGCACGGCUCUUGGUCUGUCUGUGAAUGUUUCAUUGCUGUAAUUGGGAGGUAUGUCCCAAGUCCAUGUGUUGGGCACCUGCUCUUCAGUGCGAUGGGGUUGGGAGGCUGAACUAUAGCAGAUGUUUAGGUGACUAUGCAUGUAUCCUUAUGUGUUAAUGUUAUUUUCACAGAAGUGAGUUAGCGCUCAUGGAGUGCACUAGUUCUCUCAUGAGCAUUUUGUUAUACAUGUGGGCUUAUCUCCCUCUGUUCUCUCACCCUGUCACUGAGACAGGAAAAGCCUCACCGGAAGUUGAACAGAUGCUGAAGCCAUGACUCAGAUGCCUCAGCCUCCAGGGCUGUGAGCCAAAUAAACUUACUCAAAAUAACCCAGUCUUUAAUGUUUAGUCAUAGUAACAGAAAAUGGGGGGACAUCACUUACCUUCCUCUGAGACCUCUGUAACCUCUGGCUGGACAGAGGACUUCAACCUGUCUGAAAGGGUCACUUGCUCUGAGGUAAGCCUGUUGCUGGGUUAUGAGGAGACUUGGACAGUCCUGAGCGUCUCACUACAGCGUAACUUGCCAGGCAUGUGAGAAGAUCCGUGAAGUGGCUCAUCAUGGCUCGGUGGGUAAAUGCACUUGAGGCUGAGGCUGAGACUGAGGGCCCUGAUUCCUGAGAUCCACACAAUGGAAGGAGAACAAAACCUCUC
rnacentral:lncRNA from 1 species